GGCGGCGGCUGUCCAUCAGCGUGAGCAAGAAGCUGAGCCUGAAUAUCCCGGACAAGCUGCGGCUGAGCCGGCGGGAGCACAAGGACCACCACCAUCACAAGGUGGAGUCGGAGGACACACUGUGGAAGAAGGGCAUCAUCCUCGGGGAGAAGUGCAGGAUCCCGGGGGAGCGGGAGGCGGAGUGCGCCGACCCCGACGACGACGACAUCGCCGCCGCCAACUUCCGCCGGUCCAGCUACUCACGGCCCGUGUCGCGGUCAAGCUCGUUCGCCAUGCACCAGCCGCAGCACGACGCCCCCGGGCCCGCCUUGCACGCCUCGGAUACUUGACAGCCCGAGAGUAGGUGUACGUGUAGGCGUCAAAGGGGAGAAUCGGCGAAGGAUGCUACUAUGCUAGUGUGGUGUGAAGUGCAUUCAGAUAAUCAGGUUCAGAUGUUUGCUCUAUAAUUUUCUUGUGUCAUCUUAUCUUUGUGAAAUUGUGUGGUCUGGUCUAGAUGCAUGGACAGUCACCGAGAGAAGAUCCAGUUUGGAAACAAAGAAAUUUCGUAUCAAAUUGGAUUACUCAUGCGAA
rnacentral:lncRNA from 1 species